rnacentral:rRNA from 1 species
AUUGAACGCUGGCGGCAUGCCUUACACAUGCAAGUCGAACGGUAACAGGUUAAGCUGACGAGUGGCGAACGGGUGAGUAAUAUAUCGGAACGUGCCCAGUCGUGGGGGAUAACUGCUCGAAAGAGCAGCUAACACCGCAUACGACCUGAGGGUGAAAGCGGGGGAUCGCAAGACCUCGCGCGAUUGGAGCGGCCGAUAUCAGAUUAGGUAGUUGGUGGGGUAAAGGCCUACCAAGCCUACGAUCUGUAGCUGGUCUGAGAGGACGACCAGCCACACUGGGACUGAGACACGGCCCAGACUCCUACGGGAGGCAGCAGUGGGGAAUUUUGGACAAUGGACGCAAGUCUGAUCCAGCCAUGCCGCGUGCGGGAAGAAGGCCUUCGGGUUGUAAACCGCUUUUGUCAGGGAAGAAAAGGUUCUGGUUAAUACCUGGGACUCAUGACGGUACCUGAAGAAUAAGCACCGGCUAACUACGUGCCAGCCGCCGUAGUAAUAC